UGGGGAAUAUUGGGGCAAUGGACGAAAGUCUGACCCAGCGACGCCGCGUGAGGGAAGAAGGUCUUCGGAUUGUAAACCUUAGUCAACAGGGGAGAAGAAAGUGACGGUACCUGUGGAGGAAGCCACGGCUAACUACGUGCCAGCAGCCGCGGUAAUACGUAGGUGGCAAGCGUUAUCCGGAUUUACUGGGUGUAAAGGGCGCGUAGGCGGGGAUGCAAGUCAGAUGUGAAAUCUAUGGGCUUAACCCAUAAACUGCAUUUGAAACUGUAUCUCUUGAGUGCUGGAGAGGUAGACGGAAUUCCUUGUGUAGCGGUGAAAUGCGUAGAUAUAAGGAAGAACACCAGUGGCGAAGGCGGUCUACUGGACAGUAACUGACGCUGAGGCGCGAAAGCGUGGGGAGCAAACAGGAUUAGAUACCCUGGUAGU
rnacentral:rRNA from 1 species